CCAUGGUGCCAGGACUCGCACCUCAUGGGUCUUGAAGAAGGGGGAGUUCUCCAGAGCUUCACGAAGUUCUUCCAGGCGUGCCACGUACUUUCUCUGUGGGUGAGAGAGAAGAAUCCUUGAGAUUUUGUGGGCCCUUACUCACAAAGGAGAGGGCAGGCUCCAGCCACAAUGGGAUAAGGUGAGCAUGGGAAAAAUGGAGAGCUGGGGGAAUGAGGGGUUGGCUGCAUCAAGGUGGCACAGACAAGAGUGUGGCAAAUUACGUGGAUACCUACAAAUCUUAGCAGCUCCUCUCAUCAAGAGGUGGAGUCUGUUACCCUUUCCCUUUAAUGGAGGCUUGGUCACAUGACUUGCCUUGGCUAAUACAAUGUGGCAGAAAUGAUGGUGGACAUUCUGGGCCCUGGCAUCAAGAGGCCUUGCAUUUUCACAUGUUUUCUUGGCCCCCAGCUUCCAUUGUGAGAACAAGCCCAGGCUAGCCUCCUGGAUCACGAGAGACAUGACCAAGUCAUGAGCCAAGACGGUCAGCCAACCAGCAGACACGUAGGUGGUUUUAAGCAAGUCACUUCACCUGCCUCUGCAUCGGUUUCCUCAUUUGGCAAAUGGGCACUGUGCUGGAAGAAAUACAAGAAACUGACCAAGUGAUUUCCCAUAAGCAGGCAGCAGGAUGGAGGGACAGAAUGGGAAGAAUUGCAGAAGCUCAGGUGAGAGAUUUCUCCAUAUAUACUUUUUUUUUUUCGCUUUGAGUCAUUUGCUUUUCCUAAUAUUAUUUUAAACUGUAUGAAUAAAGAAAAAAAGAAAACUAAAAGAAAAAAGUAAAAA